GUGAAAGUCACUGUUAAAGGGGCGGUCACUGUUAAAAGGGCGGCUACCGUGAAAGUCACUGUUAAAGGGGCAGUCACCGUUAAAGGGGUGGCCACUAUGAAAGUCACUGUUAAACAGGCAGUCACCGUUAAACGGUCGCCCACUGUGAAAGUCGCUGUUAAAGGUGUGGCAGUCACCAUUAAAGAGGCGGCCACCAUGAAAGUGACUGUUAAAGGGGCGGUCACAGUUAAAGGGGCGCCCACCGUGAAAGUCACUGUUAAAGGGGCGGUCACUGUUAAACGGGCGCCCACUGUGAAAGUCGCUGUUAAAGGGUCAGUCAC